GGAAGGGCAAGGGACUCAAGUAUUCUCCCUAACUGUUAACUGCCUGUAAAUCCCCAGGGAGGGGCAGUCCUCGUGGGCCCUCUCUGGCUCCAUGAUAGGUAGUUUCAUGAGCUUAGUUUUGUUUUGUUUUCUAGACAGGAUUUUUCUAUAGCUUUAGAGUCUGUCCUGAGAGUUCAGGAUGCAGCUGACAUGGAUCCAGCGGACCGCUUUCCGCAAAGCCACUUAGACUCUAUGUUGCUUAUUUUUUUUUUCAAAUCAGGUUUUCAGUAACAGUUAUAAUUUUCUACCCCCCAAAAGGAUAAGGUGAGCGGUCCCCCUCCUUUACACCUAAGGGUAGAAGCAUCGACUGCUUGUAAGCAUAAACCUGAGUCACUGCCCUCAGCUCCAAAGUUUCCACAUUCGAGGGAAGAGGACGCUAGACACCAUCUCUUGAAAGAGUCAUGGAAUUUGUGGGUCUAUUUUUCAACUGCCCAAGUGCAGGAAAAGCACCCUUUUCUCUGCCACUUCACUGAUUCCCAGUACUUCUGACACCAGCUGGAGAGGGGGUACACCAAGAAACUUUCUAGCUCUCUGGAGACACCAGCUUUGGGUCCUAGAGUCAGCUGGACUUAGCUCUAGUGCUAACUAGUUAACUAGCUGGAGUUAACUAGUGCCAGCCUGCUCAGAUAAGGGCUCAGCUCUACCGCAGUCCCUGUUCAGAUGGCAGUCACAGUCCAGGUUGUCACUAGAGCGUCCUACCAGCUAGACGGCCACCUCAGGGUGAUUCCUUGCUAGGAUGACUUGGAGCCCAGGAAAACAGUUCCCUUCCUACUGCUGACAAAGAAUUCUGGGGAGCAGUGGACAGCCAGGGGAAGAGGUGCAUAGGACACAUGGACUGAAGCUGACCAUCUCAGGCAUGCAGUUGUGGCUUGUUCUUGCUGAUGACUAACUUUCAUCCAGAAGCCCACCAAAAGUGACCUCAUCCAAACAAAUGGUGCUCCAGCCGCAGUGGAAAUGUCCCGGUGAUUUAGGAGCUCUGUGCAGCAGCUGGGGAGCAGGUACCAAAUAUGUGUUUCCUGACGGGGCACGUUCCCUCAGACAAGAAACUAGAAGCCAUUAUUAACAUUUCAAACCAAAAAGACUAUUUUCAUUUCUUUAGUAUAUAAUGUUAGUGUGUCCUCGUUUAUUACAGUAAAUCGAUUGCACGAAGGAAUGGGCCUCGCUGUGACUUUCUGCUUUAGUUCUUUGCUGACGCUGUGCACCAGCUGUGCACGGUUUGUGCGUGUGGAUGCAGGUGUUCACAGGGUCCACAGGAGGGCAUCACUUCCCCCUGGAGCUGGAGGUAAAGCUGGUUGUGAGCCACCUGGCAUGACUGCUGUGCGCCGAGCUUUGCUCUGGGAAAAAGCAGCACGUGGUCUUUGGUCACCGGACCAUCUCUCCAGCCACUUGGACAACACACUUUGACGGCAUGUGCCUCCUCCACCGCCAUGUCGUCUCUCCUCACCGGAGUUCCUACUCCCCUUCUCCAGAAGUCUGUCUUCUACUUUCGUGUCCCCAAAGGGAUUUUGUCCAAGCCAUUGGUGCCCUUUGUUGAAGGUACUGGGGUUGGCGACAGCUGGUGAGGGACAGUACCUCUAGCUUUCAGUUUCCUUUGUCACAGCUGCUUUCCAGAAUGUCAAGGAGCCGGGGCAUCUUUUGGAACACUGCCAAGGUCACUGUAGUCUCGUGGUCCCCAGGCUGUCGACUGGUGUGGGGGUGUCCAGGUGGCCUCUGGAGCUGCACAUCACGACGGCAGAGGAGGAAUCAGACGGCCACCAUCUCUUCUCUCCCUAAUGCAUCUCACACAAGCGCACAUUACCAGCAACACCUCUGGCCAGGGAGUCAUGAAGUGUCUGCUUCCUGGGUUUCCUGAUCCUGCACAGAAUGAAGUGGCGAUUUCCACUGGGCUGGUCCAACUCUGUACCACACCUCUACAUCCAGGCGUGAUGAGAAAAACCCCACCUUGUACUUGAAAGUACCCUGGUGCCUGCCACGCCCACUUGUACUCGACAAAUGGAUGUUCAAGGCUCUGGAAGAGUAGGGAGGCCCACAAAGAGUUACAUGGUAGAGGCCUAACUGUCAGAGACCCAGUGUCACUCUGGCCAGUCAGCAGGUUCCCUUUAUCAAACUCGGGCUUGCAGCAGGAGCAGCAGCAGUAAGCACCUGUAAUCACAGAACCAUCCGGGUGCCCUGCCCUGGACUUCUUAACCACAUUAUUCCACAAGAACGCAAUAAGUUUCUUUCUUAGCCAACUAUAUAUUGGUUCUUUCUUUCAGUGUGAACUUAUAACCUAAUAAAAGGAAUGAAUUAGCCAUUGCCACAGUAACUCGAUGGAACAAACCAUUCUGAACUGUAGGGGU